UGCGUAGGCGGAAUUUUAAGUCAGAGGUGAAAUCCCACAGCUUAACUGUGGAACUGCCUUAGAUACUGGUUAUCUUGAGUUUUAGUGAAGUAGAUAGAAUGUGUAGUGUAGCGGUGAAAUGCAUAGAUAUUACACAGAAUACCGAUUGCGAAGGCAGUCUACUAACUAACAACUGACGCUAAUGGACGAAAGCGUGGGGAGCGAACAGGAUUAGAUACCCUGGUAGUCC
rnacentral:rRNA from 1 species